AGGGAGUAUAAAUAAGUGCACAUCUCGUAUCGUAACCACCGACACUGAUGCACGAAAUUUAUUCGAGUUUUUCAGUGUCUUGCUGCUAUAGGCUCGCGAGUUUUGCACUGAGCUUGAGAUUGGUUCGUUCAGAAUUCAAGCCGAUCUCGAGACACAUCUAAGAUAAGUUUUUUUUUAACUCCUUAGAAUUGAGUGGAGAAAAUGAUGUGCUGCCGGGAAUUUUGCAUUGGACUUAGUACUGUUUGGUUAUCAUGGACUAAACUUUAGUCCACCUGUUUUGGCCCCUUUUAGUCUCUAAAAUAAUAAACAGGUGGACUAAAAUGUGGACUAAAUCCUUUAGUCCUGUAGUCCAACAAAGGGUGGACUAAAGUGAACUAAAAGACCUUGAAGACACCCCUGCCCCUCAUUUAUUACCUCCCUCCCUGCUCAGCCCCCUC
rnacentral:lncRNA from 1 species